UUGUAAUUGGAAUGAUGGUGACCUAAACCCUCACCAGAGUAACAAUUGGAGGGCAAGUCUGGUGCCAGCAGCCGCGGUAAUUCCAGCUCCAAUAGCGUAUAUUAAACUUGUUGCAGUUAAAAAGCUCGUAGUUGAAUUUUUGCGUGGUGUUAAUAUUGACUGAUGUCGAGAUUGCACUUCGCUUUUGGGAUUUUUCCCUUUUUACUUUGAGAAAAUUAGAGUGUUUCAAGCAGACUUUUGUCUUGAAUACUUCAGCAUGGAAUAAUAGAGUAGGACUUUGGUUCUAUUUUGUUGGUUUGUGAACCUUAGUAAUGGUUAAUAGGAACGGUUGGGGGCAUUCGUAUUUAACUGUCAGAGGUGAAAUUCUUAGAUUUGUUAAAGACGAACUACUGCGAAAGCAUUUGCCAAGGACGUUUUCAUUAAUCAAGAACGAAAGUUAGGGGAUCGAAGACGAUCAGAUACCGUCGUAGUCCUAACCAUAAACUA
rnacentral:rRNA from 1 species